rnacentral:misc_RNA from 1 species
AAGUCGUAACAAGGUAACCGUAGGUGAACCUGCGGUUGGAUCAUUAAUAAAUGAAUAAUGCUUCAGGAAUCCUUCAAGCUUCGGUUUGUUAAGGACUGAUUCAUUACCAACCCUUUGUGCAACUAAUCGUAUUUUGGGCAAAGCUUAAUUUAAGAUUUGCCCAGCUUAAUUAAAAACACCUUUUAAAUUGAUCUUAAAUUUUUAAAUAUAAAAAUAACAACUUUUGACAACGGAUCUCUUGGCUCUC